CGGGGGAUGUGGGUUUGAUUCCGGAGAGGGAGCCUGAGAGAUGGCUACUACGUCCAAGGAUGGCAGCAGGCGCGAAACUUGCCUAAUCCUUGUGGGAGGCGGUUAUGAGAAGUGAGUUUGUAGCGAUUGUUUGGGAUUGCGAUUGAUCGGAGGGCAAGUCGGGUGCCAGCAGCCGCGGUAAUUCCUGCUCCGAUGGUGUCUAUGGUGAAUGCUGCAGUUAAAAGGUCUGUAGUUUUGUUGUUGUGGCACGUUGUGUGGGCGCGGGAGUGUCUGUUGAUGUGGGCUGGGGCGAUGGCGACGGACGAGGGGCGGCGGAUAGUUGGGCGAGAGGUGAAAUGCGAAGACCCUGACUGGACGAACGGAAGCGAAGGCGGUGCUCUUGGACGUGCGUGGCGACGAAGGACGAAGGCUAGAGGAUCGAAAUCGAUUAGAUACCGUUUUAGUUCUAGCAGUGAACGAUGCCGACUGGACGGCACGGGAGUGUUGUGCGGGAGAAAUCUUGAGUGUGUGGGUUCUGGGGAUAGUAUGCUCGCAAGGGU
rnacentral:rRNA from 1 species